rnacentral:rRNA from 1 species
UGGGGAAUAUUGCACAAUGGGCGCAAGCCUGAUGCAGCCAUGCCGCGUGUAUGAAGAAGGCCUUCGGGUUGUAAAGUACUUUCAGCGGGGAGGAAGGCGAUAAGGUUAAUAACCUUGUCGAUUGACGUUACCCGCAGAAGAAGCACCGGCUAACUCCGUGCCAGCAGCCGCGGUAAUACGGAGGGUGCAAGCGUUAAUCGGAAUUACUGGGCGUAAAGCGCACGCAGGCGGUCUGUCAAGUCGGAUGUGAAAUCCCCGGGCUCAACCUGGGAACUGCAUUCGAAACUGGCAGGCUAGAGUCUUGUAGAGGGGGUAGAAUUCCAGGUGUAGCGGUGAAAUGCGUAGAGAUCUGGAGGAAUACCGGUGGCGAAGGCGGCCCCCUGGACAAAGACUGACGCUCAGGUGCGAAAGCGUGGGGAGCAAACA